UACAGAGGUCUCAAGCGUUGUUCGGAUUCAUUGGGCGUAAAGGGUGCGUAGGCGGCGCGGUAAGUCGGGUGUGAAAUCUCGGGGCUUAACUCCGAAACUGCAUUCGAUACUGCCGUGCUUGAGGACUGGAGAGGAGACUGGAAUUUACGGUGUAGCGGUGAAAUGCGUAGAUAUCGUAAGGAAGACCAGUGGCGAAGGCGGGUCUCGUGGACAGUUCCUGACGCUGAGGCACGAAGGUCAGGGGAGCAAACAGG
rnacentral:rRNA from 1 species